rnacentral:rRNA from 1 species
GGACGAACGCUGGCGGCGUGCUUAACACAUGCAAGUCGAGCGGUAAGGCCCUUUCGGGGGUACACGAGCGGCGAACGGGUGAGUAACACGUGGGUGACCUGCCUUUAGCUCUGGGGAUAAGCCUGGGAAACUGGGUCUAAUACCGGAUAUGACCCUAUGGCGCAUGUUGUGGGGUGGAAAGCCUUGUGCGGCUAGGGAUGGGCCCGCGGCCUAUCAGCUUGUUGGUGGGGUGAUGGCCUACCAAGGCGACGACGGGUAGCCGGCCUGAGAGGGCGACCGGCCACACUGGGACUGAGACACGGCCCAGACUCCUACGGGAGGC